CAUGCAAGUCGAACGGAAAGGCCCUUCGGGGUACUCGAGUGGCGAACGGGUGAGUAACACGUGGGUGAUCUGCCCUGCGCUUUGGGAUAAGCCUGGGAAACUGGGUCUAAUACCGGAUAUGAUCAUCGGCUUCAUGGUCGGUGGUGGAAAGCUUUUGCGGUGUGGGAUGGGCCCGCGGCCUAUCAGCUUGUUGGUGGGGUAAUGGCCUACCAAGGCGACGACGGGUAGCCGGCCUGAGAGGGUGUCCGGCCACACUGGGACUGAGAUACGGCCCAGACUCCUACGGGAGGCAGCAGUGGGGAAUAUUGCACAAUGGGCGCAAGCCUGAUGCAGCGACGCCGCGUGAGGGAUGACGGCCUUCGGGUUGUAAACCUCUUUCAGUAGGGACGAAGCGCAAGUGACGGUACCUAUAGAAGAAGGACCGGCCAACUACGUGCCAGCAGCCGCGGUAAUACGUAGGGUCCGAGCGUUGUCCGGAAUUACUGGGCGUAAAGAGCUCGUAGGUGGUUUGUCGCGUUGUUCGUGAAAACUCACA
rnacentral:rRNA from 1 species